UACGAAGGGGGCGAGCGUUGUUCGGAUUUACUGGGCGUAAAGGGCGCGCAGGCGGUCUUGAAAGUCAGGCGUGAAAGCCCCGGGCUUAACCUGGGAAUUGCGCUUGAUACUCUGAGACUGGAGUACGGGAGAGGAGAGUGGAAUUCCCAGUGUAGAGGUGAAAUUCGUAGAUAGUUGGGAAGAACACCAGUGGCGAAGGCGGCUCUCUGGACCGUAACUGACGCUGAGGCGCGAAAAGCGUGGGGAGCAAACAGG
rnacentral:rRNA from 1 species